rnacentral:rRNA from 1 species
UACGGAGGGUGCAAGCGUUAAUCGGAAUUACUGGGCGUAAAGCGCACGCAGGUGGCUGAGUCAGUCGAUUGUGAAAGCCCUGGGCUUAACCUGGGAAUUGCAGUCGAUACUACUCAGCUAGAGUAUGGGAGAGGGUAGUGGAAUUCCCGGUGUAGCGGUGAAAUGCGUAGAUAUCGGAGGGAACGCCGGUGGCGAAAGCGGCGCGCUGGACCUCUUCUGACGCUGAGGCGCGAAAGCUAGGGGAGCAAACGGGG